rnacentral:rRNA from 1 species
AGAGUUUGAUUCUGGCUCAGGAUGAACGCUGACAGAAUGCUUAACACAUGCAAGUCAACUUGAAUUUGGGUUUUUAACUUAGAUUUGGGUGGCGGACGGGUGAGUAACGCGUAAAAAACUUGCCUCACAGCUAGGGACAACAUUUAGAAAUGAAUGCUAAUACCUGAUAUUAUGAUUUUAAGGCAUCUUAGAAUUAUGAAAGCUAUAAGCACUGUGAGAGAGCUUUGCGUCCCAUUAGCUAGUUGGAGAGGUAACAGCUCACCAAGGCGAUGAUGGGUAGCCGGCCUGAGAGGGUGAACGGCCACAAGGGGACUGAGACACGGCCCUUACUCCUACGGGAGGCAGCAGUGGGGAAUAUUGGACAAUGGACCGAGAGUCUGAUCCAGCAAUUCUGUGUGCACGAUGAAGUUUUUCGGAAUGUAAAGUGCUUUCAGUUGGGAAGAAAGAAAUGACGGUACCAACAGAAGAAGUGACGGCUAAAUACGUGCCAGCAGCCGCGGU